AUGGAGUAACCUCGGAUUUACAAUACAUUCUUUACUCUGAACUUAUUAUUAUAUAUAUAACUUAUUAUAUUCUUUGUUCUGGCAACACACUUAUUUUAAAAGUAAAAAGAAGAACUAUUGAAUGUAAUCGAAAAAGAAAUAAAUGACAGAACUAUCAACCUGACAUAAGCGUGUCAUCACAAGACGCUGUUUGAUAAUACUAAUUUUUAUAAUAUUAUUUAAUAUUCAAAAUGAUCCAAAAACGCGUUCGCCCCAUAAACUGGGUCGAAGAAGAAAAGCAAUUAUUUCGUGUCUUUUACAAAGAACAUGCGCAAGUUAUUGAAAAUAAAUCGCUAGAUACCAACACGAACAGGACAAAAGCAUGGGAGCAAGUUCACACAACGUGGCCAAACGAAAAAUAAAUUUAAAUAAUGUCAUGAAUAGCGAUUAAACUCUAGAAAGGUCGUCCGCGUAGAACGCGAGUUUGGCGUCGUCGUCCGUUCUACCGUGCAAGAAGGUGGCCACGAUCCUGACUAGUCGACGAGGAGUAGUAGAUGUAGCCAGCUUGCUGAGCAGGCCGGCGUGCCAGACGCGGUCGAACGCCUUCUCCAUAUCGAGGAAUACUACCGCGGCCCGUUACGCGCGGCGACCAGGUCGUGCAGUACCCUCGCAACCUGCUGGGUCGUGGAGUAUUCGGCCCUGAACCCGAACUGUUCGACACGUGGAUUUUCUAUCCAUGUUUAUUCGCAUGUAAACUUCACAAAUGCAAAUUAGGAUAUUUAUGACGUCAUCCGUUGAUUUGUUCGCCGAUAGGCUGUGCGCCACUAUUGUCACCUGUUAGGUACUUGUCAGGUGUCGCCACAAGGUAUAUGUAAAUACUGAAGGUUUAACUCGAAAUAAAUAAAAAUUAGCUA